rnacentral:snRNA from 1 species
AUACUGACCUGGCAGGGGAGAUACCAUGAUCAAAAAAGGUGGUUUACCCAGGGCGAGGCUUAUCCAUUGCACUCGGGAUGUGCUGACCCCUGCGAUUUCCCCAAAUGUGGGAAACUCGACUACGUAGUUUGUGGUAGUGGGGGACUGCGUUCGUGCUCUCCCCUG